UUCCCCCUGCAGUGUAAGAAUGCCGGUGACUCAGUUAGAAGCAUGCUUCAAAGCUGUCCGUGUCUUUGCCAUCCAGAAGCGGAGCCUGGGAGCUUCCGAAUUUCUCCAGAAUGCGGUUUACAUUCACCUUCGAUAGGAGGACUUGACCUGGGAUGACAGCCACUCAGAUCUCUCUGAGGGACUGCUCAGAAGAGGUUGGGGAGGAACUAGGAUAUAUAGGAGCUUUACAACAAAGACCGGGAAGUUGGAACAAUAAAAGAUUGCUUGUUAUCUAAAGAAAGCCAGACUGACUAUGGAUAAUCUGCAACCUUGGAAAGCAACCGAGAUGGAAUUACUGCAGUACGUUUUGGUUACUGAGACCCUCGAAUUCCCAUAUGAAUUGUAGUAGCAGCUAGUCAGUUUUUGCAGAGGAGCCUGCUGGGAUUGUAAUCGAAACCACGUUGUAUGUAUGGAUCGCUCUGGGGAACACUGCCACUCCAAGAACACUGUCUUCUGAUCCAGGAAUGUGCGUGGUGUGUCUGUCCAGGUGAUACUGCUCUGGUUGCUGCCUGUGCCCUACCCCCAGCCUUGGUUUUGGAGUUGAGUGCCCUCACCUCCAGUGGCAUCCAUCCAGACACCAGCACUGACACUGGCCGUGCUCAGAUCUGCCUCAGCCCUGAAGACACAACUGACAAAUAGAAGGGGGCCAUGCCCUGUUACAGCAGGUGCUCUCACUUUGUGGGUCCUUAUGUAACUGCGCAUUGUUAUUCAGGAUCGCCCAUUCUACAUUGUUUGAAGCUGCUGCGGUGUCUCCUAGUUAUUUGUUUCUGUAAGUACUCAUGUAUUUUCUCCAAUGC